AUACGGAGGGUGCAAGCGUUAUCCGGAAUCAUUGGGUUUAAAGGGUCCGUAGGCGGGUUUGUAAGUCAGUGGUGAAAGUUUUCGGCUCAACCGGAAAAUUGCCAUUGAUACUGCAAGUCUUGAAUCAUUAUGAAGUGGUUAGAAUGUGUAGUGUAGCGGUGAAAUGCAUAGAUAUUACACAGAAUACCGAUUGCGAAGGCAGAUCACUAAUAAUGUAUUGACGCUAAGGGACGAAAGCGUGGGUAGCGAACAGGAUUAGAAACCCUAGUAGUCC
rnacentral:rRNA from 1 species